rnacentral:lncRNA from 1 species
GUAGUGCGGCCAACCUCUGGUUGGAAGAUCACAGGUUAGUUCAGUAUUCCACACUGGGACGCGCCGUAUCCCGUCUUCUCCACGCGCGGGGCUUCUCGACGCAAAGGCGCACCGACCGCUCUAAGCCUCUGCAGUGGAGUACACACCUGGACCUGGUCUAGAUCUGGUUUAAGUCUGCUCACACUCCGCAACCGCUCAUUGCACAGCAGGUGAGCUGAAGCGGCGGGCGAUUGGGAACG